rnacentral:rRNA from 1 species
UGGGGAAUAUUGGACAAUGGGGGCAACCCUGAUCCAGCCAUGCCGCGUGUGUGAAGAAGGCCUUUUGGUUGUAAAGCACUUUAAGCAGUGAAGAAGACUCCAUGGUUAAUACCCAUGGACGAUGACAUUAGCUGCAGAAUAAGCACCGGCUAACUCUGUGCCAGCAGCCGCGGUAAUACAGAGGGUGCAAGCGUUAAUCGGAAUUACUGGGCGUAAAGCGAGCGUAGGUGGCUUGAUAAGUCAGAUGUGAAAGCCCCGGGCUUAACCUGGGAACGGCAUCUGAUACUGGUAGGCUAGAGUAGGUGAGAGGAAGGGAGAAUUCCAGGUGUAGCGGUGAAAUGCGUAGAGAUCUGGAGGAAUACCGAUGGCGAAGGCAGCCUUCU